rnacentral:rRNA from 1 species
CCGGGAAGUGUGGGAUAACGUCCGGAAUCGGGCGCUAAUACCGCAUACGUCCUGAGGGAGAAAGUGGGGGAUCUUCGGACCUCACGCUAUCAGAUGAGCCUAGGUCGGAUUAGCUAGUUGGUGGGGGAAAGGCCUACCAAGGCGACGAUCCGUAACUGGUCUGAGAGGAUGAUCAGUCACACUGGAACUGAGACAGGGUCCAGACUCCUACGGGAGGCAGCAGUGGGGAGUAGUGGACAUAGGGCGAAAGUUUGAUCCAGCGAUGACUCAUGUGUAAGGAAGCUCUUCGUAUUGGACAUAAUCCUACGUCGGAGGGAACGAGCGGACGUUAAUACUGUGCUGUCUUGACGUUACCACCAGAAGAAGCCCCGCCAUCUUUUCGUACCAUCUGCGGCUGUAAUACGAAGGGUGGGAUCUUCGAAUCGGAUUUACU